ensembl:lincRNA
CUAUGAUAGAAACAUCAGCUCCAGUAUCUAUAAGACCUUCCAGUAUAACAUUGUGAGGAAACUUUAAUUUCAUUGUAGGUCUGGAAUCAUUAACGAAAGUUUGUCAAAACACAUUAUGUCCAGUGUUGUCAAUACCCCAGUAUGAGCGACAGGAGCGGCCUUUUGGUGUUUAUAGGGUAAUAAGAGUAACUGUGCUAUUCGUUGCCCUUGACUCAAUUUUAUGUCUACAGAUGAAGAAGCCAUUAUUUGAAUCUCAUCCUGAUAAUCUUCAUCAAUCACUCCUAUAUGAACUUGAAGUCCUAGACAAGUCGAGCUACUUCGCCCUAACAAUAAACCCACAGUCCCUGGUGGCAGAGGAACACACAUGCCAGUCUGUAGUCUCAUUGGCUGCCCACCAUGUGACAAACAUCUCCACUUUCUCCCAGACACCUACACUGUGCUGUCUUUAUAGAUAAGCUUACAACACUUGGGUCUCUGGCACCAAACUUUGGGUCACUGUAAGUUUCCUACCCACUAAUCUUUGAUCUGAAACCCUGCAGAAGAGUUAAAAUAUAGGCCUGGGGCUGUUAACUGUGAAAAUACUGCUUGCAACGUUGGCUCGACUGGUAUCUGAGAACUUGGAUUUGGAGGAGGGUUUCCCCUCUUCUCUAACAGAGUGGCUCACUCUGUUCUUCAGGCUUAGUACUUUCGCAAAUACUGUCACUUGUUGGAGCAGUAACAUGCAUGCUGUGUGACUGUAAUUGGUGAGGACUCUUGGAUGUUGGUGCUUGGUUUUUUCUGAUUGCUCAAUUCUCUUCUUGCUAAUUUUGCUUUACAUCUUUUUGUUGUAGUAAUCCAUUCUCUAAUAAUUGUAUGCAGAGUCUUGUGAGUGCUCCUAGUCAAUCAUCAAAUUUGCCAAGGUCUUGAGGUUUCAACUGUCUACUGACUUAGUAGUUCAGGAAGGGGUCAGGUAAGAAGACAAUUUAUUUAAAUUCAACCUGUUAACACUGCUGUGUCUCAGCUUGUAGCAUCCACUGUGUUGUCUCAUUUUCUUAACUCCAUGUAAGUCACUUUUUUUUUUUGGUACAGGGGAUUGAACUCGGGUGUUUGCACUUGCAAGGCAGGUGGCACCACUGAGCUAAAUCCCCGACCCUAUAUCACAUAUUUCUUAGUAAUCCAUUUUAUCCUCUUAUGGCUUUUUAGCUCUACUGCACUUUUUAGUGAGAUUGAGUUUGCACCUUCAAUUUAUCAGUCUGCCUUAAAUAGUAUACAUUUUGUACAAAAUAACCUUAAACAAGUAUAAUUUCAUUUAUUGCCCCCUCCCACUUUGCUUUUGUCUUUAGUUCUACAAAUAUUGUAAUUUCUUUUGCUUUAAGUAGCUAAUAGAUAUUUAGAAAAAUUAAGCUAUUUAUCAUUUCCAAAGUUUUACAUUCCUUCUUGGAAACAGAGGUUCCCAUUAAGGAUAUUUUCCUUUGGCCUUUAGGUUUUUUCUUUUGUUUUGCAAUUUUUUUUUUUUAAUGCUACCGGGGAUCAAACUCAGGACCUUGUGCUUGCAGAGCAGGUGCAGCACCACUUGAGCUAAAUGCCCAGCACUGUUUUGUGAUGUUUUUUGAGACAGAGUCUCACUGUGUAUUUUAGGCUGGCCUUGAACUUGCAGUGAUCCUUGUGCCUCAGCCUCCCCAGUGCUGGAAUUACAGGCCUGCCUGGUCCUGCCACACCAGACUUUAGCCUUUAGUCAUUUUUCCUGUCAGUCAGCAAGAAAUUGUUCUUUUUCACCUGAAAAUAAUAUGUCCAAAUAUGGUCUUCACUCUAUUUUAUUCAGCCUGGGGUGCACUUAAGUACUUGAAUUUGUUGUUUAUCAACAACUGUGGGGAAAUUUCAGGCAUUAUUGCUAUAAUGAUUUCUCUUACCCUAUAAUGUGCCUCUCCUCUCCAGAUUCUCAAAUUAUGGAUACAUUGGACAGUGUCCCACAAGUCUUAAACCCUGUAUUUUUCUUUCUCUCUGAGCUGUGGCCAACUUAUUGGCUUGUCUUCCAAUUCAGUCCCUGUUCUAACUUAGUGUUAGGCCUAAAAAAAUAACAUUUUUUUAUUUUGGGUAACUUUUUCAGUUUAGAUUUGUACUUUUCAUUACAAGACUUCCCACUUAGCUUUUAAUUUCUGUUUCUCUGUGGAGCAUCUCAACCUGUUCAUCCACUGUCAUUUUUCCAGUAAAUUUUUUUCUUCCCCUGUACCAGAAAUUGGUACAUGACUUUGUGCUUGCAGGGCCGGUGAGGUGCCACUGAGCUACAUCCCUGGACCUCCAGUAAAAAAAAAAAAAAAUGUUUUUCUGGUAUCAGGGAUCAAACUCAGGACCUUGCACUUACAAGGCAGACAUGGUGCCGCUCAGGUAAAUCCCUGGCCCCUCCAGUAAAUUCUUCAGCACAUUUAAAAAUCCUUUGUUCAUCCCAAUACAUCAUAUCUAUGUAUUUUCUUUUUUGAGACAGGGUCUACCUAGUUCAGACUGCCCUAGAACUCACUGUGUAGCCCAGGCUGUUCUCAAACUCGCAGCAUUCCUUCUGCCUCAGCCUCCUUAGUUACAGGAAUGGGAAUUACAGGCCUGCGCCACACCUUCGUGUUUUUUUUUUUUUUUUUUUUUUUUUUUU